GCUCCAUUCGUCUAGGGGCCUAGGACGUGGCCCUCUCAAGGCCAAAACACGGGUUCGAAUCCCGUAUGGAGCA
rnacentral:tRNA from 2 species